rnacentral:lncRNA from 1 species
GAGAGGUGUCUCUUCACAGAUCUUCAAAUGUCUAGAAGAAAAGCGGUGAUGAAGAUAAAGUUGUUUUCUUUUCUGGCCUCAUCUCCUGAGAUCAGACUCCCAAAGCAAAGCAUUGUCAUCCAAAAUAAGUGCUGAGCUACUUCCAGCAGUGAACUCACUUAAACCGUGUUGAGUCCAGGCAACACUGUGAUGUGUUCUGAUGUUCCCUAUAAACUUUGAAGCCUGUUUCUGUGUAUUCUGGUAUUGGCUGGCAUCUGAAGAACAAUAUCUGUCGGUGAAGGAGAACCUUUGCAGAAGGAGCCAUUGCAGUGAUUUUGAACACAGAAGGCCACCUCUAGGUGAGACACCUCAGUGGAUGGGUCACUGUGACAAUGAGGUUGCUACAAACAGACACUGUGACUCUGCUUCUCUCAGCGACCGUCAAAGGCUACGCUGUGUGCAAAUCUGAGUGCACAACAGGAAUCCACAGGAGCCCUGGGGGCACAGAAAGGUACCCUGCUUCAAUUCUAACUGAGACUUAUAAUUGAUUUUAUAAACUGGUUUUCUUUUAGGAGGCUCUUUUUACAACAAGAUCACAGUUUGGAAUGUACAGUAAUAACAUCACAAAAGAUGGAAUUGUGGUCAAUAGGUCUGAGGGGGGGAAAAAACACUGACAGAUAGAAGGCUCCUCAAGUGCAUGGUUUGGGUUACCAGUAACCAGCAGAGAAAAUGACUUUUUAACACAUAGGGUUUGAGACAACCUCACAGGAAGAGAUGAUAUCAAAACCCAUGGAAAUCACACCUAGAUUAGUUUAGAGACUUGAAUGUGUUACCAGAAAGUCCUCUUAAGAUUCCACUUACCCUUUUUCUACUAAACCUCCUAUCUGUAUAUCCCCUAACAGAAAGGAGUCUUCUAGAUAUUUGUUUGCACAACUUUCUAGUUAGGCUUGUUGAUAAUUAAUCUGGAUAAAUCCAUGUGCAGAAACUUCUCAUUAUCAUUCUUUCAAAGCGUGACACAGGACCUUCAAGAGAUG